GAGUCUGAUGCAGCGAUGCCGCGUGCGGGAUGAAGGCCUUAGGGUUGUAAAGCUCUUUUAACAGGAAGAUAAUGACUGUACACGUAUAGAAUGGUCCGGCUAACUUCGUG
rnacentral:rRNA from 1 species